GAAUAUGUGAGUAUUCAGUAACAACUCAAGUUUCCAAUAAAAGCGUUUACCUUUUGUGUACGCUCUUGCUAUUUAGCGUAUAAAAUUGUUGCUUCUACCAUAAAAAUAAAGUAUUGCUGAAAACAACCUGUAGGAAGUUUGGAAUGCUUCUGCAGUUUUGCUUUCAUUAUAUAUAUCUCUAUCUCUUUUGGUCAGUUAUUUCUCUCAGACUUUAAUUAUGUAGCAUCUCAUUUAUCCACUGUAGGGAUGAAGGCGAUGGAGAAACCACAGCAAAUUGGCAUGUCUAUGAAACUGGACAUAGUUUAGGUGGAGCUCUAACAACCCUUCUCACUUCCGAACUUUCAUCUAGUCAAGUGUCCAAGUAAGAUCAAUUUGAUCCUGAUUAGAUUUAGUCUCUUGUUUGAUCAGCAUAAGGGAAAUGUUCUUGCAGCAAGUCGGAUCACACUUAUUUGAUGGAAUAUCCACUAGGAAUGUUGUGCCAUGUUUCCCUACAUGGUGAUAUUAUUUGUUCUCAAAAGUCUUUUACUUCGCCGCCAAUAGAAGUUCACUCCUGAGUCUAAAACAGUUCACUACAUUAGGAAAAUGAAAAUAAAUAAAUCAGUAUGUGAAUAUGCUAACCAAAAAAUUCCCGACUUGAACAGAGACUUGUGCAUAGCUCGGUUGAAAGAUGAACUCUGUAGUUCACUGUUGCAAGCGAAUUUAUUUAGCAGUUGACUGACAUUAUAUCGAAAGUUCAGACACAUAAAUAGGCGAAGUUCAUUUUGAUCGAUAUGCUUUAUAGUUUUCUUUUGAUGAAAAACACAUUAAAAAGGAUGCUUUUAAAAAUGUUCUCUAUGAGAUACUCACCUAUGCACAAUUUUUCUGUAGAAAAGAAACUGCAAGAUUUCUGUGAUUCUCAGCUGCCUAUCUAUGGUUUGUGUAUCACUGCUAAAUUCAUUUUUAUCUGUUUCCAGGGGAGUUCAAUUCGUCCGAAGGCGAAGUUGAUUAUUUUCUGUAGAACAGUUCGAUUCAUAAUAAGCUAGCUAUUUAUUAAUCAGCUAGUUAUUCAUUUACCGGAACAGAAGUUGCAUGGAGUCAAGGUGCACAUGGCAGAAGUUCACAUCAACUAUAUUGUGAAGCUCGCUUCUUCUUUCCCGUGAAUUCGCCUCGUCAAUUAUUUUGUCAGCAAGUUCACAUCGCCCUCAUGUAGAAAACUAGAAGUUCGGAUAUAAUUGUGGAGCACUGCAGUUCGCAUGGGCGUUGGCGAACAUCCCUCGGCGCACCUACCUCUGCAUCGGCGUUGGUGAACAUCAGUGCACACCAAGUUCCUCGUCGGGCUGAGAUGUUUUUACAACUGACUGGCUAUGAAGUUCACAUCUCUUUUUAGGGUAAAAUCUCAUGUGAAUUUGAGGAACCCAAACGAACAGAUGGUAUAUCAGCCUCAGAUAAUAUAAUGAAGAUUGCUGAAGAUUAUACGAGUAUGUUACGCCUAAUCUGGCUAUUGCGUACAACAGAAAUGAUGGUGACAAGCUGGGCUGCUGUUUCAAGGUCACUUGCUAGCGUAUUGAGUAUAAAUUUACUCGCGAACCGUGUCUGGCUGGGUUGUGAAAACAGAUGCAGCAGCUGGUUUGCGAACUUGCUCAAUGAUCUUUGUAACUAUGAACUUGUGGCUGCUAUGUGUGUGAUUUUCAUUUAUAGAUUGAGUGUUUUUUUAUGAUUGGAAAUGUAUUCCUGUG